AAAAAGGAAAAUAUGAGUAUAACAGCAACGACACUUUUCUUCUCAUCGAAUUCCAUAUCUCACUAGCCGUCCUUCUCUGCUUUAUGAAAACCCAAGUUGGAAAAUCCAUAGCUGAACUAAAAUUUCCCAAAUAACCUUUUCCUUUGCAAGAAAGUAGCCAAAUUUAUAUAAUCACUACAACCAUGAAUUGUCACUUCUUUUCUCGAAUGAUUUAAUGUAUUUGCAGAGUGAUUCUAGCUUCAGAUUUGUAUAACUCUUGGUCUGAAAAUCCAGCAAUCAGCGACUCCACCCUUUUCACAAGAGAGAACACGAACCAACUCCCUCACUCUCUCAACCGUCCCUAACCCCCCGCUUCCAAAAUCUCUCUUCCCCUGUCUCUUCACGCUGCUGCUAUAACGUCGAAAUCGUCGACAUCAGCAGGGAAACAGGGUCGUUCUCCUUCGGCUCAACCCACUGGUAUUUAAAGGCAACCCCUGUUUUGCCGAACAUCCUCUGCGGGAGGUUCAAACGAGGCGUUUGAAAUUCUAGUCUCAAAUCGAUUUUAGGCCUAGGCUCUGUCAUCGGAUCUCUAGUGCGAGUCAUAAGUGGUCGUUGUAUGAGUUUUUCCGGAGGCUUGAUUCAAUGGAAAAUCGUUUUGUCAGUUGAGGUUUAUUCUCUAUCUUUCUUUACGAUUAUUUAGUUGAAUUCAAUAUUUGUUUGCUUCUGAUGAGUUGUUUAAGUAUUUCCUUUUAGUUUUUGAAUCUUGAAUAAAUAUUGAGAGCUUAGUUUAAUCACUAAAUCUUGUAGAAUGCGGCUAUGAUAAUUGACAAGCAAAAACUUUCAUUAGUUUGUUUAGAAGUUUGAUAGCAUGAAAGAACGGUGUUCGUUAUUCUUGGGCUGUUUGAUUGCAAAUUGCUUGCGUUUUUUCUUAAGCUAAUUGACUCUUGUUACUGUGACCUUGUGAGUAUCAUGUUUCGUAAUGAAGGAAUUUGUUAAAAUAAGUUUUUUUUUUUAAUUUUCAAUGUGAGAUGAACCAUGUUUUUUAGGAGCGUGCUGUUUAUCCUAAUAUUACUGUGGGAAAGCAUUUAAUUAUAUUUUAUGAGUAAGAUCAUGAGUAAUCAAGUUCCAUUCUAAAGAAAAUUGAAAUGGAAGUGCAAACGGGUGCUGGGGCUUGGGUACUGCAAAUUGAAAAGAAGAUUUGGUGAUGUGGGUAAUUAAUGGCAUUUGGGCUUCAGAUGGUUCUAAUUGUUGUUAUCUUAUUAUAUUGAAUCGUUAGGAGCAUGCUAGGCCGUUAACACCUGGGCAGGCGAAUCUUUUGGCGCGUUUUGAAUUUAUUAUCGUGAUUAUGCACACGUUCGCGUGACGUGAUUACAAUUUUCUAAAAUGAAUAUUCGUAGCUUGCUUUAGGCUUGACUUAAUCUAUCAUCGUGAUUGGGUACAGUUCGUGUGACAUAAUUAUGUUUCUAAAAAUAAAUCGAAGUAUGCGUUCACGCAACUUCGGCCAAACUUUCUUAAUAAUAAUAAAGUGUUAUUAAUUGUGUACACGUACGUGUGACAUGAUUUUGACGCACCAAACUAAACGAGUAUACAUACGCGUAACUCGUCUUUAGUUAAUUCUUUAAAUACGGGUCACCAAGUGACUAAAAGCGGUAAAGGGUAAAUGCACAUAGGUUCUAAUACGUAAUUAAAUAAUUUAUUAAGUCAGGUAUGAUUAAAGCGACCGUGCAAACCCGAGAAUGCCUAACACCUUCUCCCGGGUUAACAAAAUUCCUUACCCGGAUUUCUAUGUUCGCAGACCAUAAAUAAGAGUCAACUUUCCUCGAUUCGGGAUUUUAAACCGGUGACUUGAGACACCAUAAAUUAUCCCUAGUGGCGACUCUGAAUUUGAAUAUAAAUAAUCUCGUUUCGGUUAUUGUCACUUUAAUUGAAAAAACUCCUUUAUAUCCCCUUUCAGGGUAGAAAAAGGAGGUGUGACACUAGUUGUGCCCAUUGUGAUUCCGGGUCUUCAGGAGGCCUUGGCUCAGAUUCUAUCAGUAUGCACUGGCCUAGCUCAGGCGGUCUCUGAUCGCAGCCUACUCCGCACCACUAAAAAGUAGCGAGAGAGGGUCGCAAUAGCUUUUACCCGAUUUUGGGUCGGGAUCGAUAUCCACAAAGAGCUAGAAAGGGAGUUGAGUAUCUAUUUAGCCUAGGAUUGCGUAGCGUUCCAAAC
rnacentral:lncRNA from 1 species